rnacentral:rRNA from 1 species
AGAAUCAACGCUGGCGGCGUGCCUAACACAUGCAAGUCGAACGCGAAAGGGGAGCAAUCCCUGAGUAGAGUGGCAAACGGGUGAGUAACACGUGGGUGACCUGCCUUCGAGUGGGGGAUAACCUUCCGAAAGGAGGGCUAAUACCGCAUGACAUACCGUGUUUCGAUACACGGAUAUCAAAGCUGGGGAUCGCAAGACCUGGCGCUUGAAGAGGGGCCCGCGUCCGAUUAGCUAGUUGGUGAGGUAACGGCUCACCAAGGCUCCGAUC